rnacentral:snRNA from 1 species
GUAUAUAUAUAUAUAUAUAUACUAAAAUUGGAUCAACAUAGAGAAAGACCAGCAUGGCCUCUGUGCAAGGAUGUGUUGCAAAUUCAAAAAGCAUUCAUGUUUUCU